UUGUAUUUCGAAUUGAACAGGGUAUUUAUUUUUUUUGUUCUGCUGGUAAGUGUAAUGAGACACAUCACCUAGUUAAACUAAAGAUAGACGAUGCUUGACAAAUAUUGAACAUUAUAUCUGCUUUAUCCGGCCCAAUAACAAUAGUGGUAUUUCGAUCUGACAAGCUUGGUUGAUAUGAAGUUACCUUCAGGUGAUCAUAGUCUGCAUCGAUCUUAAUGUACCAUGGUUCUAUUGUAGCGACCAUAUUUAUGAGCUUCUGCUGGCCAAAAAAUCAUGUUCAUCGGCAUGCACCAGCACCACACUGCUGCUGGUACCUCAUUCCCCUAAUAUCACUAGUGCCCAAGGUAAUUGCAUAGAACAACUGGGAAAAGAUCAAAAUACUGAAAUUGGGUUGUGAAUUUGUGACCCAGGCAGUCAUCUAAAUUAAGCAAGUAGAUUUGCAUGGUUCCAGGACUAACUGGAGUAUACAUGUUGGGGAAUGGCCGCAUCCUUCCCCCUGCUAGCGUCUAAGGAUAUCCUUCACCCGAGGAACCUCCGACGUAUGAAGCGUCGAAGGCUAUCCUCCACCCAGGAAACCUCCGUGCAGAUGCAUGCGGAGGACCCUGAGGAAGGCUGACGUUGACAUGCCUCUUGUGAUGUUAAGCAUAUGCAGGGACCGGGACACCGGCGGAGAUCUGCAGGCGAAGAAGGAGGGAACCUUCGAGCCUUUCUGUGACGAAGGAUGUUCAAGGGACGCGGCGGAGGAGAUAAACCUCUGGCGCAUCUGAACCGAGGAGCCUCCGGAGUGGCCAACCCGAGGAACCUCCGGCGUGGCCGGGCCAAGGAACCUCCGACGUGGCCGGGCCAAGGAACCUCCGACGCGGAAGUGUCGAAGGAUCGACUGCUGGGCGGAGGAUACGAGCGUUCGACAGUCUGAACCCCAGACAAGGAGCGCGUGGAGAGCCCGUGGUGUGAAAUUACACAAGUGACUUAGGGUCAGUAGACUGUGAUGUAAGAAUAUGCUGGAAUAUUCUCCCACCGUCACGGGGCAUAUCUGUAAUUGUCCUAGGUCGGUUUCCGAGCCCUAUAUAAGGGGUGUGAUACCGUCAUUAAUACAGAGAGCAUUCAUUGUAUUCACCUACUGUUGAGCUCAAUGUUCUUACUAUUCUCACGGCACCGAGUGAGAAGGUUCUCGUUUCACUGUAUCGCUGGGGAGUGCGGUGCGCAUUCUCCCAACAAUGCAUUGUGUUCCUAAUCUGUUCAGCUAUUGG
rnacentral:lncRNA from 1 species